UGGGGAAUAUUGCACAAUGGAGGAAACUCUGAUGCAGCAACGCCGCGUGAAGGAAGAAGGUUUUCGGAUCGUAAACUUCUAUCAAUAGGGACGAAACAAAUGACGGUACCUAAAUAAGAAGCCCCGGCUAACUACGUGCCAGCAGCCGCGGUAAUACGUAGGGGGCAAGCGUUAUCCGGAAUUACUGGGUGUAAAGGGAGCGUAGGCGGCAUGGUAAGCCAGAUGUGAAAGCCCGAAGCUUAACUUCGAGGAUUGCAUUUGGAACUAUCAAGCUAGAGUACAGGAGAGGAAAGCGGAAUUCCUAGUGUAGCGGUGAAAUGCGUAGAUAUUAGGAAGAACACCAGUGGCGAAGGCGGCUUUCUGGACUGAAACUGACGCUGAGGCUCGAAAGCGUGGGGAGCAAACAGGAUUAGAUACCCUGGUAGU
rnacentral:rRNA from 1 species